rnacentral:rRNA from 1 species
GUGGGGAAUAUUGGACAAUGGGCGCAAGCCUGAUCCAGCCAUGCCGCGUGAAUGAUGAAGGCCUUAGGGUUGUAAAGUUCUUUCGCCAGGGACGAUAAUGACGGUACCUGGAUAAGAAGCCCCGGCUAACUUCGUGCCAGCAGCCGCGGUAAUACGAAGGGGGCUAGCGUUGUUCGGAUUUACUGGGCGUAAAGCGCACGUAGGCGGAUCUUUAAGUCAGGGGUGAAAUCCCGAGGCUCAACCUCGGAACUGCCCUUGAUACUGGAGAUCUUGAGUUCGGGAGAGGUGAGUGGAACUGCGAGUGUAGAGGUGAAAUUCGUAGAUAUUCGCAAGAACACCAGUGGCGAAGGCGGCUCACUGGCCCGAUACUGACGCUGAGGUGCGAAAGCGCGGGGAGCAAACAGGAUUAGAAACCCUUGUAGUCC